rnacentral:lncRNA from 1 species
AACAAUGAAAUGAUCAAAGGAAGAAAGAUAAAAAUUACCUUGAACAUAACGACGAUAAAUCUGAGAGUAGUCAGCGAGAAUAUCCUUCGGUGCAACAUGCCACAUUUUGUUAGGUUCCUCUACCAAAGGUUGCCGUGGAAUUUAUUUAGAUGUCAGAAAAUUUUCAAAAAACAAUUUGUCUUUCUCAUUAUGAGUCCAGUUCUCAAAAUCAAGUUACAAAUAACCGGACAUAAGAAGCUUCAUACCAAUAUUUAAGCAGAGUCUGAAUUCUGAAUUCACCUCCGGUUCUUGAUUACGGUGAAGAGAUCACGGAGAAAUUUGUUUGAAGCUUCUUUCUCUGUUUUUUUUAGCGUUCAACACAGAGAUAUUUGACGAGCCUUCAACUUUUUGGGUAUUUCCUUGCAAAAAACAUGCAAAAGAAAACAGAGGAGAAGAAUAAGUUUACUUUUUAGACAAAACUAAACUCUGUGAUGCAUAGAAUUAAGACCAUGUGUAUGGCUGAUACUUUUACAGUAUCAGAAGCCCAAAAAAUAUUAUUUAAAGGAUCAAACAGUUAAAACGGGCCUGAUCCGUAUCAGCCCAGUGAAACUUCUGAUACCCAGUGUCAGAUGACAUGGCAGCUGUUGAUUGGUUGCGUUUUCCCGAAAGCAGUGGAAAAAAAAAAUCAUUUUGUUCUCUCUUCUCUUCUCUCGCUAGAGAAACCCACCGAAUUUCUCUCCUUCUCCGAUUCUGGCUUCCCGAUCCUUCCUUUGCUUCUCCUCCGCUUCCGCCGAUUUUCUCUCCUCCGCUUCUCCUCCGGCUUCAUCUCUUCGAUCCAUUUCACUUCUCCAUUUCUUCUGUUUAGAUUCGAUCCCAUCUCUCCUCCGUCGUUUAGGGUUUUUCGCCUCUUUCUCAACUCUCUCUCGAAAACCUAGCUCCAGCUGCGGUUAAGGCCACUAAUAAGCCUUUGAAGAAAGGUAUUAACUUUGGUUCCCUUUUGCCUUAGGUGGUUUGUUCUCUGUCUUUCUCUGUUACAUAACGAGUUUGGUAUUGAAAGUUUUGAUUUUUGUAUCUAUGUUGCUCGUUCUGCUAUGUCUGAUGGAAUUGGUUGUUUAAUUUGUUUGUCUCAUGAACGUAUAAGACUGAUUUGGGAAUAUAUGGUCUUAGAAUUCAAUAGUCGUUGUUUAUUGACUUGUUAAUCAUGAAUUCAGAACCUUUAAUGUUGGAAAGUAUAGGAGAUUUUGGAGGUGCAGUGUGUUAGCUUUUUUCAUUAUAGAUUGUUGCUAUGUGCCGUAGACUCAUGGAUUUUAAUAGUUUCCAGCUCAGCACCUGAUAGUGUGGGUAUGGAGUCUUCUGGUAUUGCUUUGGGCAUGGGAAAGUUCAGGAUGCAGUAGAUAUUAGAAUUCAUCCCUGUUCUUUAAUUCUGUUUGUGUUCUAGUUUGAGAUCAAGAUUUCACUUGAAUAAGUUUCUGAGUACAUUGCAGGGAACUCACUUGGAGGGUAUGUAGCUCUCUACUUUGCAGUCUGUGGCAUUCCCUCUACCUGCAAGAGUGAAAAAAAUCACAGAAUUGGUGUAAGUGAGACUUUAUUAACACAUCUUCUGACCUGCAAAGUAUCAUUAACACAUCUUCUGUCCUGCAACAGCAAUAACUUUCAAGAACCAGAUAAUGAAGUGGAAGAUGAUGAAUCUUUCAUUGACAUGGUGUCUUUCUAUUGGAGUCUUGCUGCAGCCUAUGUGACAAUACUUCUUGGGAUACUCGCAUCUCUCUCAUUUGAUUCUCCUUGGAGCAUUGCGUGGUUAAGAAUUUGUUUAGUAAAACACUGUAGGUGCCAAAUUCUUCUUAUACUAAUUUUUGCAAGGAAGCAGUUCUCAAACAGCAAACGUAACAGAGUAUCAAUUUUUAAUAGCACUGAUCAGAGAACUUAUGCCACAUGUUGGAUUCUGUCUACAUAAUUAACACCAAUGUGAAUAAUAAAAUUUGAAACUACACACCAAAAAUUGCGGAUACACACGUUUCUUGAAUUUGGCAUCAAUCACAGCAAGGGGUUAUCAAACAAGCAAGAAAUAUGCAUCAGACAAAUAAAAUGGUUCUUCCCGAACCAAUAUCUAAGUUUCAUCAACUCACUAAAAGACAUACCACAACAUAUAGAUUUUCAACGAAGCCAAGGUAAUUGACUACAAGCGACUAAAUUAUUUUUAUCAUCAUGUUUUUUUUUCAGUUUUUUCGAAUUUUAUGUUUUAUUUUGCUUAAGUAUAUUCUACGUUUUUUUAAUCGUAAUAUUACCUUUUGUAAUCUUAUGUUUUAAUCUAUUUAUUUUUGAUUUUGCAAUUUUUUUUUUAUGAUACCUAAACCGGUCUCACCAAUGCAAACAUAUUUAGUAGGAGUAUCAUAAAAAAUCUCAAACAAUAAACAAAUAUUAUAAAUAAUACUAAAAAAUUCCUAAUGAUACUAUAUGGGUAUCACCCAUAUACAUGCUCUAAAACAGACGAAAUUUUAAGGAGAACAUAGCAUGAUUAAAAAACGUAAAUGAUUCGUUACUUUCUUAGAAAAAAAAAGAGAAACUCUUACCAAUCUUAAAAGCAAAGCUUGACUACUAGAAACUUUGGAUGAGAAGAUCUUUGCUCUUUCUCUGGUUUUGCUUUCUGAACU